rnacentral:rRNA from 1 species
CCCUUAGAUGUUCUGGGCCGCACGCGCGCUACACUGAUGCGUUCAACGAGUUUAGAACCUUGACUGAUAGGUCUGGGUAAUCUUUUGAAUGCGCAUCGUGCUAGGGAUAGAUUAUUGCAAUUAUUAAUCUUGAACGAGGAAUUCCUAGUAAACGCAAGUCAUCAGCUUGCAUUGAUUACGUCCCUGCCCUUUGUACACACCGCCCGUCGCUCCUACCGAUUGAGUGGUCCGGUGAGGCUUUGGGAUCUGAGCGGAAAGAGCGUUUCGCUGUUUCUGCUCGGAAAACUCAGUCGAACCUUAUCAUUUAGAGGAAGGAGAAGUCGUAACA